GCCCCAGUAACGGCGAGUGAAGCGGCAACAGCUCAGAUUUGAAAUCCGGCCUCGGCCCGAGUUGUAAUCUGUAGGGGAUGUCCCUGGCGCGGCGCCUACCGAGUUCCCUGGAACGGGACGCCAUAGAGGGUGAGAGCCCCGUAUGGUUGGACGCCAAGCCUCUGUGGGACUCCUCCGACGAGUCGAGUAGUUUGGGAAUGCUGCUCAAAUUGGGAGGUAAAUCUCUUCUAAAGCUAAAUACCGGCCAGAGACCGAUAGCGCACAAGUAGAGUGAUCGAAAGAUGAAAAGCACCUUGGAAAGGGGGUUAAACAGCACGUGAAAUUGUUGAAAGGGAAGCGCCUGUGACCAGACUCGCGCCGGGCGGAUCAUCCAGCGUUCUCGCUGGUGCACUCCGCCCGGUACGGGCCAGCAUCGGUUUCCGCGGGGGGACAAGAGCGGCGGGAACGUGGCCCUUCGGGGUGUUAUAGCCCGCCGCACGAUGCCCUCUUGGGGACCGAGGAUCGCGCUCUGCAAGGAUGCUGGCGUAAUGGUCACCGGCGACCCGUCUUGAAACACGGACCAAGGAGUCGUCCAUUACGGCGAGCGUUUGGGUGUCAAACCCCUACGCGUAAUGAAAGUGAACGCAGGUGAGAGCUUCGGCGCAUCAUCGACCGAUCCUGAUGUACUCGGAUGGAUUUGAGUAAGAGUCGUACCGGACGGACCCGAAAGAUGGUGAACUAUGCCUGUAUAGGGUGAAGCCAGAGGAAACUCU
rnacentral:rRNA from 1 species